rnacentral:lncRNA from 1 species
AUGGAGGGGACGCGUUUUCAGGAUCCUAAGAGACAAACGGCCCACCGGAUGAACGCGGAGGGCGGGCCGGCUUUGUUCGGGGAGGAGGAGCUGCGGGCUCCGGAAGGGGCGCGUCACGUGGCCGCCAGUGCACCCCCCCCCCGCAUCCCCGCCCCCGCCCCCCGGGGCCCGCCGUCUGCGGCGAGGCGGCGAGGGCGUCCCAGGGCGCGCAGGUCGCCUCCACCUUCAGUCCUGCCUGCGGGCCCCCGGGGCCGGGCGCGCGGCCUCCAGGGCCCGGGCUGCUGGGAGCGGACGCGCGGGGGAGGCGGGCGCGUGCCGGUGCGCGUGCCCGGGCCGUGCUCACAAAGGAGGCCCUUCCCCUGGCGUCCCGCAGCCUGCUCGGGGAGCGCGCGUGUCCGCGGCCCCGGGCCCGGGAGGAGAGGGUCCGCCCGCGACCCCCACAGGGCUCCCCGCUCCCCGGCCGCUGGAGCUGCCCUUUAUUUCUUUAUUCUGGUGGGGGAAGGCGGGGUCAUCUCUCUUGGAGACGACUAUCUUUCCAGGAAGUUUGUGCCUAUUAAUAUUUCAGUUCCUGGCAGCUGCUUUAAGUGCUGGGGGGGCGGGGGGACGGGGGGCAAGUUCAAGGCUGCCGGAGAGGGAGCUGCUGCGCACUGCCGGCUGUCGUCGGCCGGCCUGGGGCGGCGGGCCCAGGGGCAGCCCGGGCGCCUCCCGGACACGUCCCCUCCAUGGGGGACAGGAGCUGCCAUGACCCCCCUGGGGGACGCGGACGAGGCGGGCGGGUGCCCUCGGAGAGAGGCGGCCCCCGAGGCUGCGAGGAGAUUGAGAGCGAGGGCGCAGCUCGCGCUUCUUGUAGCGGUGCCGGCGGAGGAGCAGAGAGGGCCACUCGGCCGCCGGAGGUCGGCGGUGGGUGGGUGCGGGUGGGGGGCGCAUCCCGGUAGGAAGGCGCGUCCCCGCGAGCUCGGGCCCGCCUACCGCACUCGCGGGGGUCAGGCGAGGAGGAGGCCCGGAGCCGGGACGAGGUCGGGACGCUCACUCCGACCUUGGUGCGGCUACACAACGGGAGGGCGCUGCAGCAGCAACUUGACCUUUUAA